UGGUUAGUCUAAACAAUGUAGUGAGGCAGUUGUGUUGUGUGAUUUACAAGAUUGUUUGGAUUACUACACACUAGUAGGGAUUUUGCAAGGCAUUUUGCAAGGUUUGGUAGAGACCUGGAAGUUGCACUAAUGAUUACUUGUCAUGUCAUUAUCAUGGGAAUUUACUGGACCAAGCCCUGGUUUACUCACAUCCAUCCAGUAUUUAAGACUCAGUACCACAGAUGCCAGAUUAAAUACAGACUGUGACAUUACAGUUACUGGACAAGAACCUCUGCACAAGGAUGAAGACAUUGCAUGCAGUGCUGCUGAUGCUGUUUGUUGCAUCAGUCUUUUCAAAAGCGUUUGAUUCGCGCAGAAGAUUUGAUUCAUCACACUCUGUGCGAUCUAGAUUCAGUUCAGAGGAAAAUGAUUCAAGCAGAGAAGACAGGGAGGAUUCACAGUCCGAUGAGAAAUCCGAAUCAAACGAGUCUAAAUCAAGUGACUCUGAAUCUUCGGAGGAAGAUAUCAGAGUUGUGUCAGGCACAUUCCCUCCAGCUAGCACAACAAGUCCCCUGAUCGCUGGAAAGACAACAACAACAACAGCUACCAUGACACAAGACAUCACACACUGUGUUACUGUGGAUCUGACAGCUAAUGUAUAAGAAUGGGUGAUGAUAAUAAUGUCAAUAUAAUACCUUGCAGUAAUACUGUUUAAUGUUUUCAUGCAAAACAAAGAAAAGUUGAAUGAUGUACAAUUAACUAUUUUACAGUAUAAAAUAAUGUUUAUGUACUGAUAAUGAUACUGAAUGAUGUAACUUUUAAAAUUAUUUACUUUUAAAUUGCAGGUCCCCAUUAUGGUUUUAAGUGUUCAUUCAGAAUAAAUAAUCUUUCAAGUGCAA